rnacentral:rRNA from 1 species
CUUUCGAAAGGAAGAUUAAUACCCCAUAAUAUAAUUGAUGGCAUCAUUGAUUAUUGAAAACUGAGGUGGAUAAAGAUGGGCACGCGCAAGAUUAGAUAGUUGGUAGGGUAACGGCCUACCAAGUCGAUGAUCUUUAGGGGGCCUGAGAGGGUGAUCCCCCACACUGGUACUGAGACACGGACCAGACUCCUACGGGAGGCAGCAGUGAGGAAUAUUGGACAAUGGGUGAGAGCCUGAUCCAGCCAUCCCGCGUGAAGGACGACGGCCCUAUGGGUUGUAAACUUCUUUUGUAUAGGGAUAAACCUUUCCACGUGUGGAAAGCUGAAGGUACUAUACGAAUAAGCACCGGCUAACUCCGUGCCAGCAGCCGCGGUAAUACGGAGGGUGCAAGCGUUAUCCGGAUUUAUUGGGUUUAAAGGGUCCGUAGGCGGAUCUGUAAGUCAGUGGUGAAAUCUCACAGCUUAACUGUGAAACUGCCAUUGAUACUGCAGGUCUUGAGUAAGGUAGAAGUAGCUGGAAUAAGUAGUGUAGCGGUGAAAUGCAUAGAUAUUACUUAGAA